UCCUAGCCUUAAAAUAUUUUGACCAAGUAAAAGGGGCACUACCCAUUAUUGACCCAUGUCCACACCCAGUGCUAGGCAUUCUGUCAUAUGGGAUCCAAUUAAAAGUUCUCAAAUCAGUCCAUAUGGUUUCAUAAAUUUACUUCAAGGGUUCUUAAUCAAAUCAAUAUGAAUAAAAUCAAGAAACUCUUUCUUGAUUUAAUCCAAACCAUAAAUUAAGCAUCCAACCAUUGGAGGCUAUUGAAUCAAAUUCAAUUAAGUUCAAAUCAAGUGUAGAAAUUAGUUAAUGCUUAUCAUAUAAGCAAAUCAACCACAAGAGAAAUUACAUUCACCCA
rnacentral:lncRNA from 1 species